GACGAACCGUCCAAACGUUAUUCGGAAUCACUGGGCUUAAAGGGUGCGUAGGCGGAGAGGCAAGUCAGAGGUGAAAGCCCACGGCUCAACCGUGGAAGUGCCCCUGAAACGGCCUCUCUCGAGGGAGAUAGGGGCGUGCGGAACUCAGAGUGGAGCGGUGAAAUGCGUAGAUAUUCUGAGGAACACCGGUGGCGAAAGCGGCACGCUGGGUCUUUUCUGACGCUGAGGCACGAAAGCUAGGGGAGCAAACGGG
rnacentral:rRNA from 1 species